UGAGGAAUAUUGGUCAAUGGACGGAAGUCUGAACCAGCCAAGUAGCGUGCAGGAUGACGGCCCUAUGGGUUGUAAACUGCUUUUGUAUGGGGAUAAAGUUAGGGACGUGUCCCUAUUUGCAGGUACCAUACGAAUAAGGACCGGCUAAUUCCGUGCCAGCAGCCGCGGUAAUACGGAAGGUCCAGGCGUUAUCCGGAUUUAUUGGGUUUAAAGGGAGCGUAGGCUGGAGAUUAAGUGUGUUGUGAAAUGUAGACGCUCAACGUCUGACUUGCAGCGCAUACUGGUUUCCUUGAGUACGCACAACGUUGGCGGAAUUCGUCGUGUAGCGGUGAAAUGCUUAGAUAUGACGAAGAACUCCGAUUGCGAAGGCAGCUGACGGGAGCGCAACUGACGCUUAAGCUCGAAGGUGCGGGUAUCAAACAGGAUUAGAUACCCUGGUAGUCCGCACAGUAAACGAUGGAUGCCCGCUGUUGGUACCUGGUAUCAGCGGCUAAGCGAAAGCAUUAAGCAUCCCACCUGGGGAGUACGCCGGCAACGGUG
rnacentral:rRNA from 1 species